UCCACCCUCACGGAGAAGAGUUUGAACCUGCUGAGGUGCUGGGAGAGGAGGGGGAACAAAAUGAAGAGAAAGAGGACCGGGAUAUCCCCAGAGCUGGGCCAAAAUGGUGAUUUACAAUCUACAGUUCCAAGGUCAUUUAUUGAUUCAGCGCACAAAUACUUCCCAAGACCCUACCAUGUCCGUGACACUCCACUCUGCUGGGCUCAAAUACACCUCCUCACAUUCCUUCAAGGUGUUCAAAUUCCAAAAGAUUCAGGUAAGAUCCCAAAUAACUCUAAGGUAGACAAGACUAGUAUUAGUUAUUCAGUGGGAGAGGGGAGUUGGUAAUGGGACUCAGACAAGAGGAAGAGUGCUUUCUGAGAUGAGCAUCAUCACAUAGGGAUUUAGGGAGGAAGGGGCAUUUGAGCUGAACCUUGAAGAACGGGGAGAAUUGAACAAUUUUUAUGGAUAAAAACAGUCUAGACAGAGGGAACUGCAUAAGCAAAGACAAUUUUUUUAGUGGAGAGAGUGUCGAUUUGGGAGUCAACAAACCUGAGUCUGAAUCUCAGUUCUGUCAUUCACUUCUUUAAAGAAUACUUUCCCCUCUCAGGCCCUCAGUUUCUUCAUAGUAAAAUGAUAAUAUUGUUUUUUCUGGCUUUUAAAGGUCUUUUAUGUGCUUCCUUCCUGACAUAAUUUUUCAAAUAUCAGGCAGACCCAUUUGCCUCAGGAUAGAGUAGGUGAGAGAGAAUAAUGCAAGGGUAAUUGGGUCCAUGUUCUGAAGAGUAUUGAAUGUCAACCCAGGAGCCUGAGCAGAGAAAGAAAAUAGAAGCCAAGCCCCAGGCCUAAGCCCUGAGGUUGUACGUUUAGCCAGAUUCCAAUUUAAGAACAUGAACUUUGUAGUCAGGGUGGCCAAAGAUGGAGACCUGGCCUUAUUACACACUAGUAGUUCAUUAAAUAGUCAUGCCACCUCUCUGAGCCUCAGUUUCUUCAUCUCUAAAAUUAGAAUGAAAGUAAAUAACUCAUGAGAUCGUUGUAAAGAUUAAAUGAGAUCAUGUGUAAAAAGUGCCUAUAAGUAUGCUACUUUCCUGUCCCUUAGUCCCUUCUCCCCAGUGCCAGGCUUUAAUUAGUCUUUGCUGUUCCUUCUUCUCUUUCUCCUUCUCCAAAGCAGGCUUCCAAGUAUAUCCAGAAUCCAACCACUUCUCCCCAUUCCCAAUAUCAUUCACCUGGAUUAUUGUAAUAGCCUUUUAAUUAAUCAGCCUGAUUCUAUUUUGCCCACUUACAGUUUAUUCUUAAUCCAACAGCCAGAGUAAUCCUUUCAAAACUUAAGUCAAAUCAUGUUACUUCUCUGCUCAAAACCCUACAAUGUCUCCCUACCUUACCUAGAGCAAAAAGUAGAAUGAUUACAAUAGUGUACUCACUUUUUAGCUUUUGGGCUUCAUCUAUACUUUAGCCACACUGUCUUCCUCAUUGUUUCUCCAAUAGAAGAUAGACAUUCUCUUUGCACUUGUUCCCUCUGUCUGGAUCCUCUCCUCCUCACUCCAUCACCUCUCCUAUAUUUUAUUUAAAUGUCACUUCUAAGUGAGGUCCUCCCAGACCACCACAUUUAAAAUUGCAACAUCCCCCAGCAUUCCCUAUCCUCCUUCCUACUUUCUUCUCCUUCACAGCAUUGAUUAUUACCAUAUGACAUACUAUAAAAUGUAAUUACUUAUUGGUUUCUCUCCCCACUAGAAUAUAAGCUUAAUAAAGUCAGGGGUUUUGUCUGUUCA
rnacentral:lncRNA from 1 species